UACAGAGGGUGCGAGCGUUAAUCGGAAUUACUGGGCGUAAAGCGCGCGUAGGCGGCUUUGCAAGUCGGGUGUGAAAUCCCCAGGCUUAACCUGGGAACUGCAUUCGAGACUGCAUUGCUAGAGUAUGGGAGAGGGAAGUGGAAUUCCCGGUGUAGCGGUGAAAUGCGCAGAUAUCGGGAAGAACACCCGUGGCGAAGGCGGUUCUCUGGGACGGUACUGACGCUGAGACGCGAAAGCGUGGGGAGCGAACAGG
rnacentral:rRNA from 1 species